ACUGGGUACCUCGCCUGGAGGAUUAAAACUAUUCAGAGGUGCACUGCUAAAGACAGACGAUCAGCAUUUGGAGAUGGUGUUUAAUCAGCCAAAGGACCAGAUGACAUGUCUGGAGGACCAACUGUCAGACGAGAGUCCGAGUUUCUUCUUGAGACUGUCCCGAGCGACGAUGAAUGUAAAGAAGCCAUCUCAUUGAUGAAACAUUCUGCUGAUGAGGACACACUCAAGAAAAAGAUGAAACUGACAUUUGUCUAUCGCCGCAACAUGAUCCUUGACCCCCAGCAGUCAAGGGACAUCCUGUCUGACUUUCCGCGUUUUAAAGAUGGCAAAGGCUUGGUUGAACAGGAUUUCGUUCUGAUGUUUGGAGAGGAUACAUCAGACAAGCUUCUGGAGAAGUGGCCAACCACAUUUAAGAAAAAGAUCAUCAAACAAUGCUCCAUCAGGGAGCUUGAUGAACACCUUCUGGCAGCUGAUCCUUCUGAGGAUGGCACUGAAGUGGAUGUGGACUUUGGUUGGGACGGGGACCUGUCUUCGCUUCUACUGUUGCUGCACCUGAUUCCACCUUCUGCUCGGGGUCGGGAGAAACCAGGAAAGGUGUCUGCAUCCCAAGCAGAGAAGCAUCUUGUGGGAUUCAAGAAGGUUAUACAUUUUUCUAAUUUAUGACUAAUUUUAAAAUCCCACCACUGAUCAUUUACAUUUCUUACUAUAGUUCCCAAUACUGAUAAGCUUUAAAAACAUUACACUGACAUUAGCCAAAAAGCAUCAAAGUUGUAAGGGGAUGUAUUGGGAGUCUUUCAGCAAGGGAAGAUUAACUUUAGGUCCAGGAAAGAUGGUGACACUUCAUGAGCUAAAAGAGGGUUCAGAGAUUGCUUUCAAACUUGGAGCUGUAUCAUCUACCAGUGUGUUUUCUGCGAAGUGGAUAAAACAUUAUGGUACAGAGUACCGCCCCAACUUCAUUAUCUGUACUGUGUUUAGUAAGAUAAGGACUAUUGUUGUUAAAGAUGACUGUGUAUUGCUCUGUGUAAACUUGCUGGAAACCAUCUGUUUCGAUCAGCAUUACCAUGCCUUUAAGGUUAGGCUGCAUCCUUACAGGCUUGUCAAGGUAUUGCACAUAAAUGACCUGUUUUAUAAUAAACCAUUUGAUCUUCAAAUGCAGUACGGCAUGGCAGACUCCACCUUGUACAUUGUCCCUUAUUGCCAUUUUAUGCAGAUCGAAGGUCAAUGUUUUGUAUUGUUGCCCUGCACAAUAAAGAAAUGUGAAAUGCA